rnacentral:misc_RNA from 1 species
UCUCCGUAGGUGAACCUGCGGAGGGAUCAUUACAGAGUUCGUGCCCUCGCGGGUAGAUCUCCCACCCUGUGUUAUUGCUACCUUUGUUGCUUUGGCGGGCCGCCCUCGGCUACCGGCCCCGGCUGGUACGCGCCCGCCAGAGGACCCCAAACCCUGAACGUCAGUGUCGGCUGAGUACUCUAUAAUAGUUAAAAAUUUCAACAACGGAUCUCUUGGUUUUGGCGUCGUUGAAGAACGCAGCAGAACGGAAGAGCACACAUCUGCAAUCCAGCCA